GGCCAGACUCCUACGGGAGGCAGCAGUGAGGAAUAUUGGUCAAUGGGCGCGAGCCUGAACCAGCCAAGUCGCGUGAGGGAAGACGGUCCUAUGGAUUGUAAACCUCUUUUGUCGGGGAGCAAAAGACGCCACGUGUGGCGUUCCGAGAGUACCCGAAGAAAAAGCAUCGGCUAACUCCGUGCCAGCAGCCGCGGUAAUACGGAGGAUGCGAGCGUUAUCCGGAUUUAUUGGGUUUAAAGGGUGCGUAGGCGGGAUGCCAAGUCAGCGGUAAAAUACGGGGGCUCAACCUGCGUCCGCCGUUGAAACUGGCGUUCUUGAGUGGGCGAGAAGUACGCGGAAUGCGUGGUGUAGCGGUGAAAUGCAUAGAUAUCACGCAGAACUCCGAUUGCGAAGGCAGCAUACCGGCGCUCAACUGACGCUCAUGCACGAAAGUGUGGGUAUCGAACAGGAUUAGAUACCCCAGUAU
rnacentral:rRNA from 1 species